UACGUAGGGGGCAAGCGUUAUCCAGAUUUACUGGGCGUAAAGCGCGUGUAGGCGGCUGGUUAGGUGUGAUGUGAAAUCUUCGGGCUCAACCCGAAAACUGCAUUGCAAACCGGCCUGGCUAGAGUGCAGGAGAGGGAAGCGGAAUUCCAGGUGUAGCGGUGAAAUGCGUAGAUAUCUGGAGGAACACCGGUGGCGAAGGCGGCGUUCUGGACUGCUACUGACACUGAGGAACGAAAGCCAGGGGAGCAAACGGG
rnacentral:rRNA from 1 species